CAGGGUGGUGUGAUGUCUAUGAGGAGCCAAGGGGUUAUCACCACAGGGUGGUGUGAUGUCUAUGAGGAGCCAGGGGGUUAUCACCACAGGGUGGUGUGAUGUCUAUGAGGAGCCAGGGGGUUAUCACCACAGGGUGGUGUGAUGUCUAUGAGGAGCCAGGGGGUUAUCACCACAGGGUGGUGUGAUGUCUAUGAGGAGCCAGGGGGUUAUCACCACAGGGUGGUGUGAUGUCUAUGAGGAGCCAGGGGGUUAUCACCACAGGGUGGUGUGAUGUCUAUGAGGGGCAGGGGGUUAUCACCACAGGGUGGUGUGAUGUCUAUGAGGAGCCAGGGGGUUAUCACCACAGGGUGGUGUGAUGUCUAUGAGGAGCCAGGGGGUUAUCACCACAGGGUGGUGUGAUGUCUAUGAGGAGCCAGGGGGUUAUCACCACAGGGUGGUGUGAUGUCUAUGAGGGGCAGGGGGUUAUCACCACAGGGUGGUGUGAUGUCUAUGAGGAGCCAGG